rnacentral:rRNA from 1 species
UGGGGAAUAUUGCGCAAUGGACGAAAGUCUGACGCGGCGACGCCGCGUGGAGGAUGAAGGUUUUCGGAUCGUAAACUCCUGUCAAGAGGGAAGAAACCUAUUAAGAAUAAUACUCUUAGUAAUUGACGGUACC